rnacentral:rRNA from 1 species
AUUGAACGCUGGCGGCAGGCCUAACACAUGCAAGUCGAACGGUAACAGGAAGAAGCUUGCUUCUUUGCUGACGAGUGGCGGACGGGUGAGUAAUGUCUGGGAAACUGCCUGAUGGAGGAGGAUAACUACUGGAAACGGUAGCUAAUACCGCAUAACGUCGCAAGACCAAAGAGGGGGACCUUCGGGCCUCUUGCCAUCGGAUGUGCCCAGAUGGGAUUAGCUAGUAGGUGGGGUAACGGCUCACCUAGGCGACGAUCCCUAGCUGGUCUGAGAGGAUGACCAGCCACACUGGAACUGAGACACGGUCCAGACUCCUACGGGAGGCAGCAGUGGGGAAUAUUGCACAAUGGGCGCAAGCCUGAUGCAGCCAUGCCGCGUGUAUGAAGAAGGCCUUCGGGUUGUAAAGUACUUUCAGCGGGGAGGAAGGGAGUAAAGUUAAUACCUUUGCUCAUUGACGUUACCCGCAGAAGAAGCACCGGCUAACUCCGUG